rnacentral:rRNA from 1 species
UAUUAAGUUAAGCACUCUAACGAGACUGCCGCGGUUAACGUGGAGGAAGGUGGGGAUGACGUCAAAUCAUCAUGCCCCUUAUGUCUAGGGCUACACACGUGCUACAAUGGCUGGUACAACGAGCAGCGAACCCGCGAGGGGGAGCAAAACUUGAAAGCCAGUCCCAGUUCGGAUUGUAGGCUGAAACUCGCCUACAUGAAGUUGGAGUUGCUAGUAAUCGCGAAUCAGCAUGUCGCGGUGAAUACGUUCCCGGGUCUUGUACACACCGCCCGUCACACCAUGAGAGCCGGUAACACCCGAAGCCCGUGAGGUAACCGUAAGGAGCCAGCGGUCGAAGGUGGGAUUGGUGAUUGGGGUGAAGUCGUAACAAGGUAGCCGUAGGAGAACCUGCGGCUGGAUCACCUCCUUUCUAGGGA